rnacentral:rRNA from 1 species
UACGUAGGGUGCGAGCGUUAAUCGGAAUUACUGGGCGUAAAGCGUGCGCAGGCGGCUUUGCAAGACAGAUGUGAAAUCCCCGGGCUCAACCUGGGAACUGCAUUUGUGACUGCAAGGCUAGAGUACGGCAGAGGGGGAUGGAAUUCCGCGUGUAGCAGUGAAAUGCGUAGAUAUGCGGAGGAACACCAAUGGCGAAGGCAAUCCCCUGGGCCUGUACUGACGCUCACGCACGAAAGCGUGGGGAGCAAACAGG